AGAUUGAACGCUGGCGGCAUGCCUUACACAUGCAAGUCGAACGGCAGCACGGGAGCAAUCCUGGUGGCGAGUGGCGAACGGGUGAGUAAUAUAUCGGAACGUGCCCAGUCGUGGGGGAUAACGCAGCGAAAGCUGUGCUAAUACCGCAUACGAUCUCUGGAUGAAAGCGGGGGACUCGCAAGAGCCUCGCGCGAUUGGAGCGGCCGAUAUCAGAUUAGCUAGUUGGUGGGGUAAAAGCUCACCAAGGCGACGAUCUGUAGCUGGUCUGAGAGGACGACCAGCCACACUGGAACUGAGACACGGUCCAGACUCCUACGGGAGCAGCAGUGGGGAAUUUUGGACAAGUGGCGCAAGCCUGAUCCAGCAAUGCCGCGUGCAGGAUGAAGGCCUUCGGUUGUAAACGUGCUUUGUACGGAACGAACGGUCUUACGUUUUAAAUAAAGUAGGUACUAAGUAGACGGUACGUAAGAAUAAGACACGACUAACUACG
rnacentral:rRNA from 1 species